rnacentral:rRNA from 1 species
GGCCUGGCUGGGUGGUCUUGCCGUAAGGUAAGCACUGCGCUGGUUGGGUCUUUCCUUCUGGGGAACUUAGGUGCACUUAACUGUGUGCUUAAGGGAUCCAGGACUUUUACUUUGAAAAAAUUAGAGUGUUUAAAGCAGGCCUAUGCUUGAAUACAUUAGCAUGGAAUAAUAGAAUAGGACUUUGGUUCUAUUUUGUUGGUUUCUAGGACCGAAGUA